AAGAGACAGAAUGUAGAGGAAUGUUGAGUUUAUCUGUGGAGGACUUUCUCAGGAACCCUCUCUCCUUAUUCCACAGAGUGAAUCAUGCAUAUAAAGGGAGGACAGCUUAGGGCCUGUCAGGCUGACAUGCCGGGAGGAGACAAGGAGUGACGAGAGACUGGGGAAGCAGCUCGUCAUGGCGAUGGCCUCCCUGCAUCAAUUUGCUCUGGUGUGCUCCCAUUAGCAUCUGCGACGAGGCCACCACCAGGGACCCACAGAUGGAUGGACAGGGUGGAACAAGGAAGCUGGCUCCUCGCAGCUCCAUCCCAAUUACCCACAUAUGAAGCUCUUGUGAAAGUUCAGUCAGGAAGACAAUACUGUUCAUGCU